rnacentral:misc_RNA from 1 species
UUUCUAAGAGAAAGAUAAACUAAGGCUAAUUCCAUUAACUCUUGCCCUACUCUUUUCUUUUGAUAAGAGAGUUUUUAAAACCAGUGUUAUUUUUGUAAGUUUAAGAGAAGUUUGUGUAUUGAAUUUUUUAUUUUUAAUAUUAAAGAGCUUUGUUAAACUUAGACUUAAGUUUAGGUCAUUUUGGGGGUUUAGCUCAGUUGGCUAGAGCAUCGGCUUUGCAAGCCGAGGGUCAAGGGUUCGAGUCCCUUAACCUCCAUUGGGCUUAUGUCCUAAAUUGUAAUUAAGUAUGUUUUUAAGCAACUUUGUUAAAGUAAUUGUUAGAAUGUGAAACAGAGAAAGUUAAAAUUUCUGGGUUAAGUUGAGAUCUGUUGAUAUUAAGAAGAAUCUCUAGAAGCAAAAGCAAGCUUUCGAUAAAACCCGAAGUUGUUUCGCUAAAGUGCAAGGAUUAAACAGGAUUGUAUUUUCCAGCAGCCUAUUUUAUAAACGAUCUGCAUUUAGUAAAUAGUUUUUAGUUAAGAAAUAAUGUAGAUUGCUAAGUGUGAUGUCUGAAAGAAGGACAAGUAUUUUAGCGAGCCUAAAU